rnacentral:rRNA from 1 species
GACGAACCGUGCGAACGUUAUUCGGAAUCACUGGGCUUAAAGCGCGUGUAGGCGGGAGGGCACGUCCGUCGCUGAAAUCCCCCGGCUCAACCGGGGAACGGGCGCGGAUACGACCUUCCUGGAGGGGCGUAGGGGGACCUGGAACUUCCGGUGGAGCGGUGAAAUGCGUUGAGAUCGGAAGGAACGCCCGUGGCGAAAGCGAGGUCCUGGACGCCUACUGACGCUGAGACGCGAAAGCCAGGGGAGCCGAACGGG